CGCUGAGAAGGUGAAAGGUGCGUUUAGAUCUCUACCUGAAGCCUGUUCUGUCAAGGUAAACAGAGUCAGCACGCAAAACACAGGAAGCGUACAUGUGGUUUUCACAAUAAAAGCAUGGUUAAAUAACAAGUUGGGUUUCUGACCACAAGCCUGGAGUAAAAACACAUUUCCCACCAAUUACAUACUUGACCAGACUGUCAGUGUUCACUGUUGCAUUCUCCAGAUUCCUGAGCAAGUCUCAUUACGUGCUGAAGGUGGUGUUGUUGUGGGCGGGUGUCAGAACCUGCUGGUCCACCUGGAUAAUUUGUUAUCAUCGUGUUUAAACUUGCCGGUGUUGACAAAGGUGUAAUAUAUUAUUACACAAUGCAAUAUCAUUUAAUGACACCCAAAAUACAUGAAGACGUUUUUUCAUCCAUCUGAUUAUAUUCUUCUAUGUAAGCUUGUGGAAGUGCAGGCCUACACAUCGAUGAAUUACGUCUGUAAAAAUCUCACCAGGCUUUAUAGAGUGAUCACAUAAUUACAAAGUUGUUGUUCCUGUUGAUUUAGUAUGCAGUCUAUCAAAAUUUGUUUCAGUGAUAUCAAGUGUAUUCUAUUUUAAAUUGGUACACCGCUGAUUUCAUUGUGAUAAACUAAUUGUAUAAAGACGUUAAAGAGGAAAACCAGGCUUGAUGACAUAAAAUGUCGUGGUCAGUCAUAAUUCAAAAUCUGCUCAGAAAUAAUUCAGAGUGUGAUUAAAACUUCAGACUGAUGAAAUGGAGAGUAAACCUCGUGAGAUAAAAAGGCAUGAUUAUUAGCUAAAAAGUCAAAUAUUAGUUAAAAAAUGCAUAUUUUUGAACAUUAAAAGUAAUAAUCAAAUUUUAAUGUUAAUUAUCAGUGAAAAAGUCAUGAUUAUUAAUUAAAACAUCACAAAUAGAGUGAAAAGUAAUAAGUAUUAGUUAAAAGGUCAAUUAUUAGUUAAUAGAUCAUACUUAUUAAUCAAAAAGUCAAUUAUUUGAAAAUCAUAAUUAGUUGAAAAGUCACAAUUAUGACUCAACAUUUAUAGUGAUAACCUAAUGAGAAUAAUUCUGUCAGACUUCAUAAAGCGUCAUCACACAUUAAUAUAUGCUCACUGCACUUAUAACUAUUUUAAAACACACUCCUCGUUCAGCUGUCGAGGCUCGUAGGUGAACGCAGCGCCUCCUCUCUGAGAGCUUUACUUUGAAAAUAACAGCCGGAAGUAAACACCUUAACCGUCUCCAGCUUGACGGUGUCCAGACGCACAGACGCGGAGCCGCUGCGGUCCGUGCGGAGGCAGAGAGUGUUCGGACGGGAGCAGAGCUGAGCUGAGCGGCUCCAGGACGGUUCGUGUGUGUUCUGGUGGGUCUGAGCGGAACCUGCUCCUCCACCUGCUCCUCCACCUGCUCUGAUAUGACAGCAGCGCACCCGGGUUUGGGUGUGACAAACAUCUCGUGUCACAUCUGGGCUCGUCUCCAGGCUGCGUGGAGACGCGGGUGACUUGACUCUGGUCUGCGCCGCCGUCCCUCCUCCCUCCUCCUCCCUCCUCCUCCCUCCUCCCGGCUCAUGUGUGUUGGACGUGUUCAGAGUGGGUUCUGUCGGUCCGGAGCGGAUGUUGUUCUGGACGCUGCCCCUGUGGAUGUCCAGUGAUUUACGCGCUGAUGUCAGAGGGGCUGCAAGUUGAAGUCCUGCUCUUGAAGGUGUGAGCUCACAAAUGCAUUCGCUCCUGGGCCGGGAGAAGAAAGAAGAAGAAGCCGGGUUUGGGUUCGAGCUGGGUCUGUCUCCGGGCUCUGUGCCCCACGCUGCCACCAUGUUCAGCUGUGUGGGCUGCUUCUGGGUGCUCCUCUCCUCCGCUCUGGUCGCCGUGUGCAGCUUCAGCUUCAUCUCUCCUGCCUGGAUUGUUAAGGACCAGCUGAGGAACAGCCACCACCAGCAGAACCAGCACCACCAGCACCACCACCACAACAACAACAAGGACUCCGUCAGCUUCGGCUUGCUGUGGCACUGCUCGGAGUCUCUGGACCACAUGUACCGGUGCUACACCUUCGGGGGACUGGGCAAAUUCGCAGAGAUCCCCUCCAGCUCCUGGCAGACGAGUGCGGUGCUCUGCUCAGGAGGCUGUGCUCUGCUGGCCGUCAGCUCCCUGUUGGCCAUCAUCACCAUCUUCCUGCCCAGCGGAGGAUGUGAGAGGAGGAUCUGCACCCUGGCUGGAUACAUGCAGAUGGCUUCCGUGUUCAUCAUGGCUGCUGGACUGCUGGUCUACCCCUUCGGCCUCAACUCUUCACUGGUCAGGUCCUUCUGCGGGGACUCUGACAUCUACUACGCUGGCGAGUGUCAGAUCGGAUGGGGCUACAUGCUGGCUAUCGUUGGAGUCAUGCUCACUGUCUUCUUGCCCUUUUUUGCCAAAUACGCACCAAAGGAGCAGCUGUCCCCCACCCCUUUACCCACGCUGUUAUAGUGUUGUGAAAAAUGUUUCUCCCCUCCUGACCACUCUCUCUAACGUGGGCUCGACGUCACGGAGAGACACCCGCAUCCCGUCUUUGAGGGCGAUGCUGUUUGGGAAGCCCCACUCGACACUUAACAACAAACACUGUCUUCCUGCAUCUGUUAUACUGGUAAUUGGCUGCAUUAAGAGAGCGGAAGCACGAGGUUACGUGGCAGUACGACUCGUCCGAUCAAGAGGUUCUGAAGAACAUUCGGCUCAACCACAGCGGUACUCAAAACGGCCGAGGACAUCGAUGGAUCGAUGGAUGGAGUUGUAUCUCGUGACGAUGUUUUGUGACUGUACAUAUGGUCUGGACUCACCGGAGCUGAUGUCUGAGGUUUCAGAAUAAAACAAUGACAAGACAACUCAGACAUUUCUUGCUCUUCAGACAUUUUUCUGCCCGACCAGCCAGAACCAACCAGUGGGAGUCGAGAAGAGCUUUCAAUGACAGUACGUUUAGUAACUGUCACAAAGAAAAAAGAACAGUAGACACAGCAUCAGACCUGCCGAGAGGACACAUGGAAGUCUCUUCUCCUAACAAGGAAGUGAAUCUUAAUAAUAAGUCGUGGUUGUUGAAGAUUUUACGUUGGGAUACAGCAUCGUUUUGUUAACCUUUUUCCCCCAGAAUUGUUUGUGUAAUGUAACUCGCUUGUUGAACAUAAGCAGUUGUUUUCUGUCUACAACACACAAUACUAAACACUCUGAUUCAGGAAAAAAAAAAAAUAAUUGCAAAAGGCAGGGAGACGUAGGAAUUUUGUCAAAAAUGCAUGAUACGAUGGGCUUUGUUAAUGGUAGAACAAUUGAUCUAGAUUUUAAAUGUGAUCAGACCAACUUGUGCCUUUUAACAUAAAGACAAGUGUUUAAUACGAUUAUCAGGUUAUCAUCUUUUUCUGCUGAAAAACUGUGGAUCCUGUUGUGUGACGUGUUUUUCCUUCUCUUAUAAUUUUCUCCUCUCAGAGGUAAAGAGUCUCUCCUGUACUCGAUGCAGUAUGAUCUCAUUAACUUGAGAAAAUGUUUCCGGGGGAUAAGAAAGAUGUCGUCCUCUAAUCCGUGGUAACAGCAGAGAGAAUGAAAAAGAGAAAAAGCAGUGUUCUUGAGUUCAAUUACGCCCUGAGACAUUUUUGCCAAUUAUCUAGAAGAGGUAGCUUGAAUUGCGACAUUAAAAGGUUGUGACAUGCAGCUAACAGAUUAAUUCCUGGCAUCCUUGUCUUAUGUGAUUUAGAAAUUGAGUGGCAGAGGAGGGAGCUGUACAAAUUGAACUUUGCCUUUGGUUAUCUGGGCUGAGCCGACACAUUAUUCACAUUAUGAGUAAGACGAGGCUUAAAAUAAUGAGCUCCUCCAAUAAGCUAAUGUGUUGCUGUGUUUUCUGUCAAACCCACUUCUCCUUUUAAAACGCUGGCACCAUUCCUGUCAUGUUCCAAGGACAAAAUGUCUACUUCUCCACUUAACUGUCCCUGUACACUGCCAAUUUCAUCAAGCUAGACUCCCUUUUCUAGUGGGUGUUUAUGUGCGUAUAAGUGUUUCAAUAAUGAGUUUGCUAAUGGGUUAAUCUUUAAAUAUUCCCCAAAUUUGGGUUCCCAAAUGACAUGUCCUGACAU